rnacentral:sRNA from 1 species
UGUGUUGGAGACGUUGCUCAAGGAACAGCUGCUCCCUACCACUCUUCACGCUCUCUAUAUCCACGGAAUGAGAAGUCUGAAAUCUUUGGAGGGAAAGGGACUUCAACACCUCACUUGUCUUCAAAAGCUCGGAAUUAGCAGCUGUGAUAGUCUCGAAUUCCUGCCAAAAGAGGGUCUUCCGGCAUCGCUCUCUUUCCUGAGUAUCGAAAGGUGUUCUUCUCUGGAGAGGAGGUGUCAGGAGAAGACGGGAGAAGAGUGGAUGAAGAUAGCUCACAUUCCUUGCAUCAAGAUAGACGACCAAGUCAUCAUUUGAGAUCUCAAGUCAAAGUGAGAUAGCAAAUUGUGCUGUAAAGAUUGAAUUACCUAAGUCCAUUGCAUCCAUCAAUUAGUUGUCUAUGAAUGGUUCUCCUGCAGUGUGACAUGAAUAUGAUUCUCCUUCAAUUGGAUAGAUCUGUUUUGGUACAUACACAGCUGUUGAAGUGAGAACGGGUGACGAUGACCACAAAACUAAAAUGAGAGCAAGUUUCUUUGGAGUGCUGCCCUCAUGCUUGCGCUUGAUGGAAGUUAGUACAUUAUGUUACAAGAGGUGGGUGGUUGCUGCACUACACAUUUCACAGGAACGAUAUUUCUUAUGUUGAACACUGAGAUAACAAAAAUUGAAUUCCAUUUUUUAAUUGGAAACCAGUGUGAACCAGUGUUGGUUCACCAAGAAAACAAGGGAAGAAGAAAUCUCUUGAUGGAAGCAAUGAUAUGAACUUGGAUGCAUCUCCAAAAUCUGAUGAGCAGGAAACUAAGAAAACGAAGCAGGAGGAGUUGAUGGAAAUUUAUAAUGGCAGCAGAGAUGGUACUGCUGCUAAGAGAAAUAAGAAUGACAAUGCCAAGGAAGUCAGAAAGCAUCUUAAAGUCGAGGAUUGAGACUCAAGAGGUUGAUUUUGGCAGCAGAGAUGGCAAUGUGUGUUGGUUCACGUAGCAAACGAGAGAAGGAGAACGCCCUUGAUCAGAGCGAAGAUGUGAAGUACUCGGAUGUAGCAAAGCAGGACGAGUUGAUGGGAACUUGGAAUGCAUCAGAGAUGGUGGUGCUGCUGUGAAUGAGAAUGAUGUCAAGGUCAAGGGCAAGGCUGCAAGAGGGUGUCGCAGGGUCAAGGAAUGCCGCGUUGAGAGCAGAGAGAUAGAUAUUGAGCUUCCCCUACCUCAGGGUACCAUUAGCUGCUGAGGAUAUAGAAAAUGCUCUCCAGUUUUUGAAGUUCUGUGAAACAUUUAGCGAGAUCUCUAUAGCAAACAAGCACCAACUGCUCAUGGUUCCAAGAUUUGGAGAACCUGAUCUCCGCAUCCAGGGUCUCAAGGGUUGACCCCGUUAUGAAGGAGUUGCCUUCUGAGUGUUUUAGUGAAGGCAGGGAUGGAUAUGAUGCCUUAAGCUUCUCCCAAAAUCUUAGGCUUUUGAAUUUCCUCUGUGAUGGGGCUCUUAAUGCAAAUCCCUUGUCCAGGACGCUGAGGGGAUGGAUUGAGGAGCAAAAUAAAAGAGUUGUCCAAUGUAAAGGGUUUGCUCUAGCAAAGAAUAAGGAGAGAGAUCUCCAAGCAAAGUCGCUGGAGGAGAUGGCUAAGAGAACCACUGCAGAUAAUGGCAGUGCUGUCCCAAUUUCAGAGUUGGACUCCAUUGUUUCAUUACUCUGACGUAAGGCUGCUCGAGCUCACACGGAGGUGGUCGAUGCUAUGGCCAUGAUACCGGAAAGCGAUGGAAUAUGUGAGGCUGUUAGAAUACAGCCUUAUCUUGUCGAUGCUGAUGGACAUUGCUUUUGGAAACUGAAAGGCGAUUUUGGUGAAGAUAUAUUGCUUCAAGAUUUGGGAACCUGGGAUGGAACUCCAUCUGGUGAACAACGGUCCGUCUGCAGUGCUAAAGAGCCAAUAGACAAAUACCGCUCUUCCCCGGCUCUAAAGGAAAAACAGGCCAAGAGGGAGCGAAGGCAUUCCAAAUACUUGCAGCUUUCCCAAACUUCUUCGGAAAGCAAUAAUAAAAAUGCGCAGGUUUCCCAGACUCCUGAUAGCAAUGGCAAAAAGGGGCAGGUUUCCCAAGCUCCUGAAUGCAAUCGAGAGAACAUGGAGCUCGGUCCUGAGGUGAAUUAAACUUUUUUAGCCCAGAAGACAUUAAAUUCCUUUUCUUUUUCGUAAAUACAUAGGAAGGGGUAUACAUGUGCGAGAAAAUAUGUAUACAUACAACUAUACGAGUUGGCUGCCCAGGUUUCUGUAUGCAUUCCUACAUGGGAAAGCUGUUUCCCAGUUCGGAUUUCGCUCUCUACAAAUCUGAAGGGGCGGCGGUCUUGAGAAACCGGCACAGCUGCCUCCGAGCAGAAAGAAUUGAGAAGAGUGGUCCUGAUAUAUUGGGAUGAGCUUUGUCAUAGUUAUUUCUUAACAGCUUAUGAAAUUUUCAUGUAUCUUCAUCUCUUGAUAUAUGCUCCCAGUUCAACCUUCAAACUAUUGCGAAGUACCCUGGGUUUGGUCUUUAUGUGUUCGUUUGAGAUUGCUUUUGUAGGAGUCAUUUUUUUGUUCAUAAGCAUUUUCUAAAACUGCUUUUAUUAGAGCUUUGGACUUGGUGGGGAGUGAUAUAAGAAGAGCUAAAAGUGUUUUCUAACAACUAAACACUUUUUGACUGCGUUGGGUAGGAAAGGUUGUUAGAUGCUUCUUUAGAAAGCAUCAUUGGAUUUUUUUAACAAAAAUUUCAUGCUUCUUAA